AGCCUGUGAUGCUAGAAAUUGUCCGUACCAUCUGAGAUCUCUUCUCUAGAAGACUCAUUGAUGUAUCUUUCUACAAAUUUCUGAGGCUU
rnacentral:snoRNA from 1 species